UUGUAGUUAGCAGUACCAGUACGACUGUGUAGUACAAGUGGAGGCCCAAGAAGGUGACACGUGGGAUUAAAGCAGGUGUGCUCCUUAUCAUAUUGAUAAUGAUGUCCUCUAGAAUCGUCUUCAUAGAAUCGACAAAAUAUGGGCUGUGCUUGCUGUGUGAAAUGUGAGAAAAAAAAAAUUUUAUGCCCCUUUCGUUCAAGCAUUGAAUCAAAAUCAUCAAAAGCUUCUCUGGGUGAUUUCCUACGUCCCAUCUCUAGGUGGUAGUGAUAUAUGUAGUUGAUUUUUGUUUAAUUUUGCUGGGUUGAACUUCACAUUGAGAGGAUGUGAAUACCUAGUUGAGCAAUCUCGACGACGGGGCUUUGCAUCUGUGUUUCUUUCAUGUGCUCCUCUAGUCUUUGGUGCGGUUGAGCUAGUGGGGUUUCUUUAAUUGGUUCAACACCUUCCGAGACAUCCACGUGCGUGUCGUAUGUGUGGCUUUCAAUCCCUCAAUGCUUAAUCCGAGGGAUGGUGAGAAGUCCUUUCUUGCAUGGGUGGAUUCAUAUGCGUUCUUCACCAGUGCUUACCGGAUGUGUCAUUCAUCCUGCGCCUGAAGACGAUGCAAUUUCACACCGAGAAGUACCAAAAGAUUCAACAAAUUCGGCUCAUCUUCUCCUAUCGUCCAGGCAAGUCUUCACAUUUUUCUUUUCUUUUCCUUUCUUCUCCAUCAAUGGCUGUCUGGCAUUUGGUAGAAGAAGCCCACAAUCAAUGCAUAGAUGCCAAUUGCCAAAUCCAUUUUACAUAGAAUCACUGGGCUCAAAGCAACCUUGUUCAUUUUCAUCAAGGUUUUUUUUUUUUUUUUUUUUUUUAGAUAAUAUCCACAAUUGAAGAAUCUAGUUUUCCAUUUUUUAAUAGUAGCUAAUUUAUGACUUUGCAUAAGAUGCAACAGGAAAACAAGAUGAUAAAAAUUGCUCUGCACAUAAACAAAAUAAACAAUCACUAGAGUCUUGAUAAUCACCGUUGAGAUAACACGGCCAAGAUAUUGCGUUUGCAGAUCAAAAGAGACAGUGAAUGAUUGAAAUUUAUUUCUGCUCAACUGUACACAAGGACAUCCUCAAUCUGACAAUAAGGAAGAAAGCAGAGACAUGUCCUUUUUUGUUACAAGGAAAAAAGUUUCGAAUAGACAUCAAACGUUUCGUUGGCUGUUAAUUGUGGUUCCUGCAGCAAAGUUUGAAUAUUAACUCAGCAUAGCCAAAUUUACACUCGAGGGUGAGGGGAAAAGAAAAUUAUUAAAGCAUGCAUAACCACAAUCAAAACAACUAUGAUUAACAAAUUGAUAUAUGAAUAGUAGUGAACUAAAUCCUGUGUAGUAUGAAUGUGCCUUGCAUCUUUAGAUCAGUGGACUCCACAAUGACAAUGCUAUAGUAAUGCAUAAUUAAUCCCUCCAGAAAACACCAUCUCCGUCACCGCAGUACGCCAAAAGGCUUGAUGUGAAAGUGAUACUCCAAAUUUUCAUGUGUGUAUGGGUGUUUUUUGCUUCUUUAUCCAAAUAUUAUAAUUGCCAUGGCUUUUGCAGUGGUGAUUGGCACUCAGAACAAACAGCAACACGAGAUUGUACUUAUAAACAUACCUGUCUAGACCCACUGAGACUCCCUCCUGUUAAGAGCAUUGUAAGAAGAGAUGUCACAAUGCCACCAUCAAGCCCUCCGUCUGUAUUUCGAAUGGUAGAGCGCAUUGCAGUUAACAUGUUCCCAUAUGUAGUUCCAUGUCCACGCUCAAUUGCUUGGAUGAAAGAAUAAGUCAUUGCACCUGUUGAAGUAACUUUCGAGAGAGCCUGAUCAUAAAGCAACAGAAUGAAAAUUUAUAACCCAUCAUGAGCUGGAAAAAGAACUUUUCUUAAUGUAUUAUGUGCAUAUGCCUAUGUUUUUA